GGACGGGUAGCUCAGUGGUAGAGCAGUUGACUUUUAAUCAAUUGGCCGUGGGUUCGACCCCCACCCCGUUCACCA
rnacentral:tRNA from 1 species